rnacentral:rRNA from 1 species
CCUAUGGGGGGCUGCAGUGGGGAAUAUUGGACAAUGGGGGCAACCCUGAUCCAGCCAUGCCGCGUGUGUGAAGAAGGCCCUCGGGUUGUAAAGCACUUUCAGUGAGGAAGAACGCCUGGUGGUUAAUACCCAUCAGGAAAGACAUCACUCACAGAAGAAGCACCGGCUAACUCCGUGCCAGCAGCCGCGGUAAUACGGAGGGUGCGAGCGUUAAUCGGAAUUACUGGGCGUAAAGCGCGCGUAGGUGGCUUGAUAAGCCGGUUGUGAAAGCCCCGGGCUCAACCUGGGAACGGCAUCCGGAACUGUCAAGCUAGAGUGCAGGAGAGGAAGGUAGAAUUCCCGGUGUAGCGGUGAAAUGCGUAGAGAUCGGGAGGAAUACCAGUGGCGAAGGCGGCCUUCUGGACUGACACUGACACUGAGGUGCGAAAGCGUGGGUAGCAAACAGGAUUAGAUACCCUUGUAGUC